rnacentral:rRNA from 1 species
AGUGAACGCUGGCGGUAUGCCUAACACAUGCAAGUCGAACGGCAGCACAGUAAGAGCUUGCUCUUACGGGUGGCGAGUGGCGGACGGGUGAGGCAUACAUCGGAAUCUACUUUUUCGUGGGGGCUAACGUAGGGAAACUUACGCUAAUACCGCAUACGACCUACGGGUGAAAGCAGGGGAUCUUCGGACCUUGCGCGAUUGAAUGAGCCGAUGUCGGAUUAGCUAGUUGGCGGGGUAAAGGCCCACCAAGGCGACGAUCCGUAGCUGGUCUGAGAGGAUGAUCAGCCACACUGGAACUGAGACACGGUCCAGACUCCUACGGGAGGCAGCAGUGGGGAAUAUUGGACAAUGGGCGCAAGCCUGAUCCAGCCAUACCGCGUGGGUGAAGAAGGCCUUCGGGUUGUAAAGCCCUUUUGUUGGGAAAGAAAAGCAGCAGGUUAAUACCCCGCUGUUCUGACGGUACCCAAAGAAUAAGCACCGGCUAACUUCGUG